rnacentral:pre_miRNA from 1 species
CAUCUACUCCCUCCGUUCGGAAUUACUUGUCACGGAAAUGGAUGAAUCUAGACGUAUUUUAGUUCUAGAUACAUCCAUUUCCGAGACAAGUAAUUCCGAACGGAGGGAGUACCUU